UACGAAGGGGGCUAGCGUUGCUCGGAAUCACUGGGCGUAAAGGGUGCGUAGGCGGGUCUUUAAGUCAGUGGUGAAAGCCCGGAGCUCAACUCCGGAACUGCCAUUGAAACUGUUGGACUUGAGUACGAGAGAGGUGAGUGGAAUUCCCAGUGUAGAGGUGAAAUUCGUAGAUAUUGGGAAGAACACCGGUGGCGAAGGCGGCUCACUGGCUCGUAACUGACGCUCAGGCGCGACAGCGUGGGGAUCAAACAGG
rnacentral:rRNA from 1 species